rnacentral:rRNA from 1 species
CAUGCAAGUCGAACGAGCGAGAGAGAGCUUGCUUUCUCGAGCGAGUGGCGAACGGGUGAGUAACGCGUGAGGAACCUGCCUCAAAGAGGGGGACAACAGUUGGAAACGACUGCUAAUACCGCAUAAGCCCACGGGUCGGCAUCGACCAGAGGGAAAAGGAGCAAUCCGCUUUGAGAUGGCCUCGCGUCCGAUUAGCUAGUUGGUGAGGUAACGGCCCACCAAGGCGACGAUCGGUAGCCGGACUGAGAGGUUGAACGGCCACAUUGGGACUGAGACACGGCCCAGACUCCUACGGGAGGCAGCAGUGGGGAAUAUUGCACAAUGGGGGAAACCCUGAUGCAGCGACGCCGCGUGGAGGAAGAAGGUCUUCGGAUUGUAAACUCCUGUUGUUGGGGAAGAUAAUGACGGUACCCAACAAGGAAGUGACGGCUAACUACGUGCCAGCAGCCGCGGUAAAACGUAGGUCACAAGCGUUGUCCGGAAUUACUGGGUGUAAAGGGAGCGCAGGCGGGAAGACAAGUUGGAAGUGAAAUCUAUGGGCUCAACCCAUAAACUGCUUUCAAAACUGUUUUUCUUGAGUAGUGCAGAGGUAGGCGGAAUUCCCGGUGUAGCGGUGGAAUGCGUAGAUAUCGGGAGGAACACCAGUGGCGAAGGCGGCCUACUGGGCACCAACUGACGCUGAGGCUCGAAAGUGUGGGUAGCAAACAGGAUUAGAUACCCUGGUAGUCCACACCGUAAACGAUGAUUACUAGGUGUUGGAGGAUUGACCCCUUCAGUGCCGCAGUUAACACAAUAAGUAAUCCACC